rnacentral:misc_RNA from 1 species
GUGAAUCAUCGAAUUUUUGAACGCAAGUUGCACUCUCCUCGGAGAGUAUGCCUGUUUGAGGGUCAGCCUAUAAAAAAUCGACAUCGUUGCUGUUUCGCGGUGGCGUUCGUCGGAAAUUGGGUCAUCUUAAAUCCUUUGGAUUAAGGGACUUUAAAUUUUCUUUUUGUUCCAUGAAAGGUUCUUAAAUCUAUUUCUUUUAAAGUUUAAGGUA